CAUGUCUCCCCGGGUGUCGGUGCUUGUUUUCACCAGAAACCAGUUUCUCCUGCUUUUUGCCCGCUCAGCCUGCUCUCGGUGUGUCUAUCUCCAGAUGGCAGGAGGGUUGCUCCGGUUCUGGUUCUAAGUGGCGGUCGUCCUCUGGUUCAUCCCCUCGGAGGAUGACGCCCUGGUGGCAGCCUGAAGCCCACCAUCACUAACUCUUAAUGGAGACAGGUGUGCUGGAGUCGGAGCAGAGCCACCCCAGCUGCACCUCAUCAUUGAUAUCAAGCCCUCUACAAAUACCCAGCCCUGCCAGAUCGUAGCCUCUCCUUCAACCCUGUCUCCAGACCCUCGUCUCAACUCAUCAGCCCUGCUUGCCUGCCCUAGAUCCCUGCUCUUCCCAGCUUAUAGCCCAAGCUCCAGCCCCAGUUUUCCAGCUACAUGCCUAAGCCUCAGAUCCUGGUUCCCGGCUUCCAACCCCAGCCCCAACCCUAGUUUCCCAGCCACCUGCCCAAGCUCCAGUCCCAGUUCCCAGUUACCUGCCCAAGCUUCCCCAAGCCUGCAUUCCCUUUCCCCAGCCUUUACA